AUUGAACGCUGGCGGCAGGCCUAACACAUGCAAGUCGGGCGAGCGGAGGACGGGUGAGUAAUGUAUGGGGAUCUGCCUGAUGGCGGGGGAUAACUACUGGAAACGGUAGCUAAUCCCGCAUACCAUCAGAUGAACCCAUAUGGGAUUAGCUUGUAGGUGGGGUAACGGCUCACCUAGGCGAAGAUCCCUAGCUGGUCUGAGAGGAGGAUCAGCCAAACGGGGACUGAGACACGGCCCAGACUCCUACGGGAGGCAGCAGUGGGGAAUAUUGCGCAAUGGGGGCAAUCCUGACGCAGCCAUGCGGCGUGAAUGAAGAAGGCCUUCGGGUUGUAAAGUUCUUUCGGUAGCGAGGCGUUAACUACAGAAGAAGCACCGGCUAACUCCGUGCCAGCAGCCGCGGUAAUUC
rnacentral:rRNA from 1 species